UACGUAGGGUGCGAGCGUUAAUCGGAAUUACUGGGCGUAAAGCGUGCGUAGACGGUUACAUAAGUCGGGUGUGAAAGCCCCGGGCUCAACCCUGGGAAUUGCAUUCGAGACUGCGUAGCUAGGGUGCGGAAGAGGGAAGCGGAAUUUCCGGUGUAGCGGUGAAAUGCGUAGAUAUCGGAAGGAACACCAGUGGCGAAAGCGGCUUUCUGGACGGUAACUGACGCUGAGACGCGAAAGCGUGGGGAGCAAACAGGG
rnacentral:rRNA from 1 species